rnacentral:rRNA from 1 species
UACGUAGGGUGCGAGCGUUGCCCGGAUUUAUUGGGCGUAAAGGGCGCGUAGGCGGCCACGCACGUCCGUUGUGAAAUCGCCCGGCUCAACUGGGCGGGGUCAGCGGAUACGGUGUGGCUAGAGCAAGCUAGGGGGCAAUGGAAUUCCCGGUGUAGUGGUGGAAUGCGUAGAUAUCGGGAGGAACACCAGUGGCGAAGGCGGCUUUCUGGUCUGCUCUUGACGCUGAGGCGCGAAAGCUAGGGUAGCAAACGGG